rnacentral:ribozyme from 1 species
UGCCCAGCAACUCAUAUCCCUACCUCCUCGUGGUACUGGCCGGGGUACGAGUAACCUUGGGGAAGAUCGGGUAACCAACUCUGGUGAGAACUUUUGCCGUAUGCCGACAGGGAAGG